UAUGGAAUCUUCGGCAAUGGGGGGAACCCUGACCGAGCAACGCCGCGUGAGUGAAGAAGGUUUUCGGAUCGUAAAGCUCUGUUGUUAAGGAAGAACGAGUGUGAGAAUGGAAAGUUCAUGCUGUGACGGUACUUAACCAGAAAGGGACGGCUAACUACGUGCCAGCAGCCGCGGUAAUACGUAGGUCCCGAGCGUUGUCCGGAUUUAUUGGGCGUAAAGCGAGCGCAGGCGGUUAGAAAAGUCUGAAGUGAAAGGCAGUGGCUCAACCAUUGUAGGCUUUGGAAACUGUUUAACUUGAGUGCAGAAGGGGAGAGUGGAAUUCCAUGUGUAGCGGUGAAAUGCGUAGAUAUAUGGAGGAACACCGGUGGCGAAAGCGGCUCUCUGGUCUGUAACUGACGCUGAGGCUCGAAAGCGUGGGGAGCGAACAGG
rnacentral:rRNA from 1 species